GCAAAUUUAACUAUAAGAACCGAACCACUCUUGAAUGGUUCGAUUUGGUUCCACGGUUUUUCCAUUUACUUUUUUUAUAAAAAAUUCAAAAUGUAUCCAAGAAAUAUUGUUUAUUCAUAAAAGGAUAAACAUUACUACUAUCAUUAUAAAAAAAUUAUAAAUCAUAUAUAACAAUAUAAUUUAUGAUUAGUAACAUAUAUAUCAAUUACUAAAAUAUAUAAUAGUUACAUUUAUAAUUUUACAUUUCAUAAUUAGUAACACAUGUAACAAUACAUGUAUAACAAUAUAUGAUAUAUGUAGUUUCAAACUCAAUAACACAUAAGUUGGAAAAUAUGUUCCAAAUCAUAAGACACUAGGAAACAAUUUAGUAACUAAUAACAUAUAUAAUAUUAACUUAAUAACAAUUUAGUAAUAUAUAUAACACUACAAUUCAUACAAAAAUUGAUAAUUUAAGCUAGAAAAUUAGUUGAAGAAGUUAAACAAUAAUAAAACAUUAUCCGUAAUCCCUAUUAUAUAUUUCUUUAAUAUGCGGUUCGGUUCCAUCGGUUCCUAAAUUUCUAAAACCAUAAACCGAACCAAACAUAAACGGUUCCUUAAAAAAAUAACCAAACCGAACCGCGAACCCAUAUUUUGCAGUUUGGUUUAGUUUGAUUCUAUCGGUUUCACGGUUUAAACCGGAUCCGCUUACACCUCUAAAUUCAUAUUAACGAAAUACCUUAGAAUAUUAUUGAUAAAUUAUAAAACAAGGAAAUUGGUAUUUGAAAACUAAAUUAGUUGUUCUCAAAAUCAUUUUCAAGUUUAAAAUUUUAUUUUCUAUUCCUAUGUUAAAAUAGUUGAGUGGUUAAUUAGUUUGGUUAGGAUAGUUAAUUUUUCUAUCCUUUAUAUAAAGGAUUUCAAUGUAAUUUUGCUUUUCAAUUUUUUUCAAUAUUUAAUAAAUAAUAUUAUCUUUUUCAUUUUCUUGUUUCAUCUUUCUUGUUUCAUUAAGAAGAUUCAAGCAUGCCUCAUACCAUUUUAACAUGGUAUCAUAGCGUAAUUAAUUUUUUGUUAGUUUCCGCUUUUAUGCUUCUAUGAAAAACUUCCAUCUCAACUUACUACAAGGAGCAAGAAUGGAGAGUGUCCAUCGGAGUCCUGGUUGAGGCACCUGAUGAUUGUGCCGUUCCAUUUCAAGAUUCUCAAGAAAAUUCAUAUCAACAACUUUGUAUGGGCCUUUGUGUUGUUUACUAAUCAAAUAGGCAUGCUCAUUUCAUUUCUUGCACAGUAAUAAAAGAUUAGUGCAUAUAUUCUUCUCAAAAGUUUCUACCAUCUUCUUGCUUUCAAUCAUGUAACAAGUAACAACACUCAUAAGCAAAGAAGAGUGAAUCUUUUUUUAUUCAAUUAUGUUUAUUAAACAUGUAAUGUUGGUAUAUGAACAUUAUCAAGCAAUAUGUAGGUUCCCCUCUAAGAUCUUUCAGAGUUCUUGAGAUUCCUUCUUAUUCUUCAUCAACUACCCCAAAUUAUUUCUUGUCUAUAAUACUCUAUUUUCUUUACCUCUCUCAUUAAACACACAACAUUGUUAAAGUGUGUAUUUUUUCUUCUUUGAAGCAACAUAUUGAGGUCAAGAUUAAGGUCCCUUUUGUUUUCUCUCUUUCAUCCAUUAUGGUUGGUUUGGUUGGUUAAGCUUAUGUCAAAAUAGAUGGUUAAGCUUUGGAUGAAGUUGCUUCUGCCUAUGGUGGUUAAAUGUCAGUGUUGCUUUACAUUCAGAUUUUAAAAAUGAUAGAUGAAGAUUCACUCACCAGUAAGAGGAGGUAUUAGAGUAUAUAAUUGUGUUCAACACAAUUAUUUCAAGGUUGAAAUGCUUAAUACAUUCCAGCUUGCGAGGGAAUGUUAAAAUAGUUGAGUGGUUAAUUAGUUUGGUUAUGAUAGUUAGUUUUUCUAUCCUUUAUAUAAAUGAUUCAAU
rnacentral:lncRNA from 1 species